rnacentral:rRNA from 1 species
UACGAGGGGGGCAAAUGUUGUUCGGAAUCACUGGGCGUAAAGGGAGCGUAGGCGGGCUCUUAAGUUAGGUGUUUAAUCCCGGGGCCCAACCCCGGUCGUGCACUUAAAACUGGGAGUCUUGAAUAGUGGAGAGGUCAGUGGAAUUGGGGGUGUAGCGGUGGAAUGCGUAGAGAUCCCCAAGAACACCAGUUGCGAAGGCGGCUGACUGGACACAUAUUGACGCUGAGGCGCGAAAGCGUGGGGAGCGAUCCGG